UACUGGCGACUCAGGGUCAGGGCCUG
rnacentral:piRNA from 1 species